rnacentral:rRNA from 1 species
UACGUAGGUGGCAAGCGUUGUCCGGAUUUACUGGGUGUAAAGGGCGUGCAGCCGGAGAGACAAGUCAGAUGUGAAAUCCGCGGGCUCAACCCGCGAACUGCAUUUGAAACUGUUUCCCUUGAGUAUCGGAGAGGUAAUCGGAAUUCCUAGUGUAGCGGUGAAAUGCGUAGAUAUUAGGAAGAACACCAGUGGCGAAGGCGGAUUACUGGACGACAACUGACGGUGAGGCGCGAAAGCGUGGGGAGCAAACAGG